rnacentral:rRNA from 1 species
UACGGGGGGGGCAAGCGUUGUUCGGAAUUACUGGGCGUAAAGGGCGCGUAGGCGGCCUACUAAGUCGGACGUGAAAUCCCUCGGCUCAACCGAGGAACUGCGUCCGAUACUGGCAGGCUGGAAUCCGGGAGAGGGAUGUGGAAUUCCAGGUGUAGCGGUGAAAUGCGUAGAUAUCUGGAGGAACACCAAUUGCGAAGGCAGCUCGCUGGGACGUUACUGACGCUGAGACGCGAAAGCGUGGGGAGCAAACAGG